rnacentral:lncRNA from 1 species
AUUAAUUUGGAUUUAAUAUUAACUAACGUUUCAAUAUGACAUUUACUGAGUAUGAUAUUGGUAUUUGCUUUAAGUAGGGGAAACACACACACAUACACAAUUUUAACCAGUUAAAACUAACUUGCAGACAUUAUAAUAUUUUAUCCACAUAAAAACAAAGAUCUUACCCUCUAAGCUAGUAGAACCAUGGAAAUAUGGGUUGUACAAAUUUCUUUUUUUCUGCCUCUUUUUCUCUAGGAAACCUGUCUUGAAAGAAUGUGUUUUAAUAUGAGUAUUCCUGACACCUAAGAGAUAAAAGAGGAAAUCUUUGAGAGAAAAACUGAAAACAUCAGAUGAUUCAAUGAAAAUUACAGCUACUAGAACGGAUAUCAGUAGUGGUGUUUUUAUUGAAACCCAAGGGAGUCAUCUAAAGAAUCUACCACCAUGGAGCAUUUAAAAGUAUAUGAUGCAGACAUUACCAACCAAAACUAAGAACCAUGAACUCCUCAAGUCCACACCACAGGCAUGAGAAGCAGGAUCUGUGGAUGCUGAAUUCUGCCAAGCCAAGAGCAUGGGGAAUGUAUAAUACAUGGAUCUACAGCACAGCCUGUAUUUUCCACUUCAUAGUUUUCCUGUAUCAACGUGAGAUCAAGGAUUUCUAA